rnacentral:lncRNA from 1 species
UACUUUUACAAGUUAUAAUAACAAUCAUAUUGACAUGUCAAAAAAAAAUAUAUCAUUCAACAUAUGACCUUCUUGUUGUGUCCUUCAGAUUAAUGGUCAGGUUGGCCGAGCCACACUCGGGUCCAGAUAUUCAUUUGCUGGAUGUACUUGAUGUAGUCAUGUUAAUGGUUAGAUCUAACCAGAUUUUUCAGUAGAGGUGCUACACGCCUGCUGAAAAGAUACCUGAAGCAAAAUCUAAUUGCUAGAAAUUGUUUGGAGAAACAAUUAGUUAAGAACCUACCAAUGGAUGCACUA